rnacentral:lncRNA from 10 species
CGCCCCCUUAAGACACCCAGUAAUCACCCACUCUGCAAUUAACCUGUCGGAAUGUAGCUAGCUACAUGCUAAUAAAGAGGGAAAGAGGGUGAAGGAGAAAUUCCUAAGAGAUAUGCAGGCAUAAAAAGUACAGAUUUAACUGCCAUACAGCCUUCCUGGGGUGAUGGUAAUGAGCAAUGUAGCCAUUAGGUAGAAUUUGUGUCCAACACAAGGUCCACACAUGCACGCCAACUAAUAGACAGAAUCCCACAAAUCUGAGGCAGGAACUAGGCAGGGAAAAGGCAAGGACUUAAGGCAGCAGCAGGAAAAACUAGAUGAAGGAAAAAGGUGGAGACUUAACACAGAGAUGAGAACUUCAAGAAAAAAUCCGUCAUAAAAACCCAAUGCAGAACUCUUGAGGCUACUGCUGGCUCAUUCUCUGUUAGUAGCCCACUGUGCCUCAUCUUUUGGAGUGUACUGUCUGUCUAAAUAAACUCUGUGCUCUAAUUUUGCUUCAAUAAAUUCUCUUUUUGGGCUAAGUGGUCUCUUGGUAGGAUUCUUUCUUACAAGUAAGCCUAAGAACAGAGGACUCUGCUCUUCCCAGUAACAAAAUCACAUUAAUUAUUUCCAUGAACUUGUCACCCAGGAGUAUCUGGCUUCCCAUCCCUGACACCUUUUAAUCUCUCAAAAAACAUUUGUCUGGGGUUAUUCUACUCUUUUAAUACUCCUAUUAAACUCUACUAUUAAAAAAACCAAACUUAUUCAUUUCAUGCGCGUCCGUGUGAAGAGACCACCAAACAGGCUUUGUGUGAGCAACGUGGCUGUUUAUUUCACCUGGGUGCAGGCGGGCUGAGUCCGAAAAGAGAGUCAGCGAAGGGAGAUAAGGGUGGGGCCGUUUUAUAGGAUUUGGGUAGGUAAAGGAAAAUUACAGUCAAAGAGGGUUUGUUCUCUGGCAGGCAGGAGUGGGGGUUGCAAGGUGCUCAGUGGGGGUGAUUUUUGAGCCAGGAUGAGCCAGGAAAAGGACUUUCACAAGGUAAUGUCAUCACUUAAAGCAAGGACCGGCCAUUUACACUUCUUUUGUGGUGGAAGGUCAUCAGUUAAGGUGGGGCAGAGCAUAUUCACUUCUUUUGUGAUUCUUCAGUUACUUCAGGCCAUCUGGGCAUAUACGUGCAAGUCACAGGGGAUGCGAUGGCUUGGCUUGGGCUCAGAGGCCUGACAUUCCUGCCGUCUUAUAUUAAUAAGAAAAAUAAAACAAAAUAGUGUUGAAGUGUUGGGGUGGCAAAAAUUUUUGGGGGGUGAUAUGGAGAGAGAAUGGGCGAUGUUUCUCAGGGCUGCUUCGAGCGGGAUUAGGGGCGGCGUGGGAACCUAGAGUGGGAGAGAUUAAAAUUUUAGUUUCCUGACUUGGGACAUGUUGAAUAAAGCUAAUUUGCCAGUCCUGGGUGGGGGCAAAUCCUCGAGCUUGAUGUGUAAGGAAGGGAGGGGGCCUGAAUAAUCCCUGAGGAAUAGUAGAACAGCAGAUGGAACACUGAGAAAUUAUUUCCUUGAGGAUAGAUUUCCACGAUGGAAAGGAAAUGAGAGGUUCUGAGAGGCAGGCUAGUGGCUUGUACUAUAGCAUAGCCUGCCUUUGCUGGUGUGUGGCGAUUAGGCCUGGUGGAACCACCAUCAAUAAAUCAAGCGUGAUCGGGGUGAGGAACAGGAAAGAAGGAAAUAUGGGGAAAUGGGGUGAAUGUCAGGUGGAUCAGAGAGAUAGUCAUGGGGGUCAGGUGUGGUAUCAGGAAUAAUGUGGGAGGCCAGAUUGAAGUCUGGGCCAGGAACAACGGUAAUUGUGGGAGACUCAACAAGGAGUGAGUACAGCUGAAGGAGCCGGGAAGCAGAAAGUAUAUGUGUCAGGUAUGAGGAAGAAAAUAGAUUUUGGAAGUUAUGAGAACUGUAGAGAGUGAGUUGAGCAUAGUUUGUGAUUUUGAGGGCCUCUAAAAGUAUUAAAGCAGCGGCAGCCGCUGCACGCAGACAUGAGGGCUAGGCUAAAACAGUAAGGUCAAGUUGUUUGGACAGAAAGGCUACAGAGUGUGGUCCUGGCUCUUGUGUAAGAAUUCUGACCACGCUAACCAUGCCUAGGAAGGAAAGGAGUUGUUGUUUUGUAGAAGGUGCUGGGGUUUGAGAGAUCAGUCGGACACGAUUGGCAGGGAGAGCACGUAUGUUUUUAUGAGAAUUAUGCCGAGAUAGGUAACAGAUGAGGAAGAAAUUUGGGCUUGAUUGAAGUAAUGGGGGCUGUCUGUGAAGCUUUGCGGCAGUACAGCCUAGGUAAUUUGCUGAGCUUGAUGGGUGUCAGGGUCAGUCCAAGUGAAAGCGAAGAGAGGCUGGGAUUAAAGGUGCAAAGGAAUAGUAAAGAAAGCAUGUUUGAGAUCUAGAACAGAAUAAUGGGUUGUAGAGGCAGGUAUUGAGGAUAGGAGAGUAUAUGGGUUUGGCAGCAUGGGGUGGAUAGGCAAAACAAUUUGGUUGAUAAGGCGCAGAUCCUGAACUAACUUGUAAGGGUUGUCUGGUUUUAGGACAGGUAAAAUGGGGGAAUUGUAAGGAGAGUUUAUAGGCUUUAAAAGGCCAUACUGUAGCAGGCGAGUGAUAACAGGCUUUAAUCUUUUUAAAGCGUGCUGCGGGAUGGGAUAUUGGCGUUGAGUGGGGUAAGGGUGAUUAGGUUUUAAUGAGAUGGUAAGGGGUGCAUGAUUGGUCGCCAAGGAGGGAGUAGAGGUAUCUUAUACUUGUGGGUUAAGGUGGGGGGAUAGAAGAGGAGGACGCAAAGGAGGCUUUGGAUUGGGAAGAAGGGCGGCAAUGAGAUAUAGCUGUAGUCCAGGAUAGUCAGGGAAGCAGAUAAUUUAGUUAAAGUGUCUCAGCCUAAUAAGGGAACUGGGCAGGUGGGGAUAACUAAAAAGGAGUGCUUAAAAGAGUAUUGUCUAAGUUGGCACCAGAGUUGGGGAGUUUUAAGAGGUUUAGAAGCCUGGCCGUCAAUACCCACAACAGUUAUGGAGGCAAGGGAAACAGGCCCUUGAAAAGAAGGUAAUGGGGAGUGAGUAGCCUCCGUAUUGAUUAAGAAGGGGACGGGCUUACCUUCCACUGUGAGAGUUACCCGAAGCUCGGCAUCCGUGAUGGUCUAGGGGGCUCACGAGGCGAUCGGGCAGUGUCAGUCUUCAGCCACUAAGCCGAGAAGAUCUGGGAAGGAGUCAGUCAGAGAGCCUUGGGCCAGAGUUCCAGGGCCUCUGGGAGUGGCUGCCAGGGCCAGAACACUUAUGUUGCAUGAACAUCUGGUGGCCAUCAUCUGAGAGCUAUUCUCCAGGAAAGAAGAACACCAUGUGAACAUGAAGACAACCACCUACAAGCCAAAGAGAGAGGCCUCAGAGGAAACAACCAUGCUAACAUCUUCUUAUACUCUAGCCCCAAGAAAUGUGAGAAAAUAAAUUUCUGUUGUUUAAGCCAUUCUGUUCAAUCUGUGGUAGUUUGUUAUUGCAGCCUUAGCAGAUUAAUACAGUGAUAAAAGCAAAAACUGUAUCAAUAUAUAUAGCAGUGGCUUUCAAAUUUUCAAUAUAUAUAUAGCAGUGGCUUUCAAAAUUUCAAAUUUUUCACAAUCUACAAUAUGAAAUUAAUUUUACCACUCUACCCAGUAUGCAUAGACAGACAUAGCUGGAACAAAGAACAAAAUUUUUUCUUGCUAAUGUAUGUUGAUAUUUUUACUUGUUUGAUUGUAUUCCAUCAUUUCAUAUUAAGAAAGACACAAUAACUGAUUUUGCAACUGAUGAACUGGCCAAAUGUUAAAAAAUGCUAGAUAAGAAAUACUAUUAUUUGUUAAAACAACAACAAAGGCCCCAGCAAACUAGAUUCUUUGGAUAGAGGCAGAAGGGGCAUUUGUGAGCAUCUAUUUUUUAACUUUUUUUUUUUCCAAAAUAAAAUCUUAUGAGAAAAUCCAAUGUAUCAAACAGAUAAAUGCUGAGUUACUUUGGUAGACAGUGGUGGGGAGAGAAGUGGAGCCUUCCUACUUAUCCCUGACAGCCCUGAUGCAGCUCAACAGCACCAAUGGCUCUUGGGUACAGGACUUAAAAACCAAAUAUUUAUUCCACUCCUCUCAUUAUUUAGAAAGGGGGACAUUGGGGUAAGGGACAAAGCUGUUAGGAGGGCCAGGUGCAGUGGCCCAUACCUGUAAUCCCAACACUUUGGGAGGCUGAGGUGAGAGGAUCACUUGAGCCCAGGAGUUCUAGAUCAGCCUGGGCAACAUAGAAGACCCUGUCUCUAUAAAAAUUUUUUUUAAAUUUAAAAAAUUUGAAAGAUGUUAGGUGAUAUGGUUUGUGUCCCCACCCAAAUCUCAUCUUGAAUAGUAGCUCCCAUAAUUCCCACAUGUGUGGGAGGGACCAGGUAGGAGGUAAUUGAAUCGUGGGGACAGUUUGCCCCAUACUGUUCUUGUGAUAGUGACUAAGUCUCACAAGUUCUGAUGAUUUUUAUAGGGAGUUUCCCCUUUUGCUUGGCUCUCAUUUCUUCCUUGCUUGCUGCCAUGUAAGACAUACCUUUUCUCCUUCUGUGAUGAUUGUGAGGCCUCCCCACCCAUGUGGAACUGUGAGUCCAUUAAACCUCUUUUUCUUUAUAAAUUACCCAGUCUCGGGUAUGUCUUUAUCAGCAGCGUGAAAACAGACUAAUACAUUAGGAGAUUGAGAUUGCAAGUUCUAAGCGAGGAUUGUAUAGAUAUAGAUGUACCAUCAUUCUUCAAUAAUUGGGGAAGUGAGAAUCUCAAAUAUAAAAGAGGUCCAUCAAUAACAUCCAUCUCUUCUUUCCAUUAAAAUAAGAAAUAUAAAAGUAGAAAUAAUGCUUGGUAAAUGUGACACAUCUCCAGUAGGCUCAUAUACUAACUUAAAUCUUGUGCUGUUCCAUUGCCCUCUGCUGGAUGUUCUUAGUAUCUGUGGCCUCAAAACUAGAAGUUCUAGUAGUGGUAGUAGUCACAGCAAUAGUGAUUAUUAUCAUUAUUGUCAUUUUAGCAGCAGCCAUGUUGAGGUCAAGCACUGUGCCACAUGCUUUACAUCCAAAUCCUCCUAACAACUCUAUGGCUAGAUAAUGCUCUCUCAUUUUGUAGAUGUGGAACCUGGGGGUUCAGAGGUAAAUAAACAAACCAAGGUUACACAACUAAAAGUAAGAGACCCGGGAAUUAAAUAUUGGUUCUAAAGCCUAGGCCUUAAUUACUUGCUGUUCAUUAAACUUUCAAUCUGUCAGCUGUGUUGGUGAUAAAACUGGAAUGAUAUUACUAGUUGGGAUCUUUUGAUUCACUGAUUAUUAACAAUGGAAUCACAACGAUCUUUAUUCUAAAAAGCCAAAAAUUAUUAUCUUCCUAAAAUUACCAAAAAGGAAAAGCUUACUCCUCAACAGAGCAGGAGAGCAUGUUUUCAGAGUUUCUCAAAGUGUGAUUCAGGAAACUCCUGCAUUGGAAUCACAUGAGGUGCUACUUCAGGGCAGAAAAUCCUAUGCACCAGGAUGUAUUUUGGAGGUAGAGAGGACAGAGCUUGUUCCUGAGAGCUGGGAUAUGUGUUAGUGGAGUGAGUGUAGAGAGAAAGAGGAACAAAAGAUGGCUCCUAAAAUUUUUGGCUCAGGACAAAUUUUGAGGAGAGUAGUGGCAUUAACUGAGAUGAGAAAGAUUAUUAGAGGAGCAAGGGUUUUAAUUGUUAGUUCAGUUGUGGCAGUUACUUUUUUGGCAGCAGAUAUAAAACCAGGAGUUUGGGUUUAGAUAUUAUAUUUAUGUUGCCAUAUAGGUAACCAAAUAAAAAUGGUAGAGCUAACUACAAAUAACUUUUAAAAAUUCAGAUCUAUAUUUAAGAUCUAUUCAUGUUGUUUCACGUGUAUCUCUUUCUAAUUGCUGCAUAAUCCUUUGUAAGUCUAUCAGUAGUAAGAGACCAGAUUACUUCCAACUCCCGCCACCACAACCAACACAGCAGUGAGCAUCCUCCUAUACAAUCCUUUAAGGUCCUCUGCAUGUAUUCUUUUGUGGUAUAAACUCAGGAGUGAGGUAUACUCAAUUGGAUUCGAUACUGCCAGGUUACUCCCUAAAAUGGCUGUGCUGGUCUAUACCCUAUCAGCAGUGCACAAGAGUUCCUCUACCUUCACAUUUCUUUGAAUGCUAAUAACUAUCCAGCCUAAUUUUUCACUAGAUAAAGAGGCAUCUUAUUGUUUUAAUACAUAUCUCUCUGAUAAGUUUGAGUAUCUUUACACACUCGUUGGACUUUUGGGUUUCUGUAAAUUGCCUAUUAAUAUUUCAUUGUUUUUCUUUCUUUGCCAUGUGAUAACUACAUAUUUAUGGGAUAUAUAGUAGUAUUUCAAUAUAUGUAUACAAUGUGUAAUGAUCAAGUCAGGGUAAUUAAGCAUAUUCAUUAUCUCAAACAUUUAUGAUGUGAACAUUCAAAAUAAAAAUCCUCUCUUCUAGCUUUUUAAAAAAUACACAAUAUUUCCCUUACAGUGCUACAGAACACUAGAACUUAUUCCUCCUCUUUAGCUAUAAUUUCGUAUCUGUUAACGAACUUCUCCGUAUCCUCUCCUCCCCACUACUCUUCCUUCCCCACUACUCUUCCUUCCCCACUACCCUUCCCAGACUCUAAAAACCACAAUUAUACUCUCUAUGAGCUCUUUUUUGUUUUUUUGGCUCCUACAUAUGAGUGAGAACAUGUGGUGUUUAUCCUUCUGAGCCAUCUUAUUUCAGUUAACAUGCCCUCCAGGUUCAUCCAUGUUGCCACAAAUUAGAAGAUUUCAUUCUUUUUUAUGGCCAAGUAGAAUUCCAUUUUGUGUAUAUACACCACCUUAUCCAUUCAUCUUUUGAUGGACAUUUCAUAUCUUGACUAUUUUUAACAGUGCUACAAUAAACAUGAAGGUGCAGGAAUCUCUCUGAUACAUAGAUUUUCUUUCCUCCGGAUAAAUACCCAGUAGUGAGAUUGCUGGACUUUCUUAGCACUCAUGUUAAAAAUCAUUUGAACAUAUAGGUGAGAAGUUAUUCCUGGGCUCAAAAACAAACAAACAACAACAGACAACAGAUAAGGAUACAGCAUGGGCCGGGCACGGUUGCUCACGCCUGUAAUCCCAGCACUUUGUGAGGCUGAGGUGCGUGGAUCACCUGAGGUCAAGGGUUCAAGACCAGCCUGACCGACAGGGAGAAACCCCCGUCUCUACUAAAAAUACAACAUUAACUGGGCGUGCUAGCGCAUGCCUGUAAUCCCAGCUACUCAGGAGGUGGAGGCAGGAGAAUCGCUUGAACCCAGGACGCAGAGGUUGCAGUGAGCCAAGAUCGCACCAUUACACUCCAGCCUGGGCAACAAGAGUGAAACUCUGUCUCAAAAAAACAAAAACAAAAAACCAGCAUGAUUUCAGGAGCAGAAAGAGAAUAACUUAAAAACCAGCAUAAUGAGAAAGUUAGGAAGCUUCUUACCAAAGCAUCUGGAAGUAUGCAAGAAAUUCUUGUGAACUAAAAUUUUCGUGCUGUACUAGCAAACACUACAACUCACUUAUUCCAUCUUUCUGUAUUUUGGGACCCAAUUAUCCACUUCUCUUCAUUCCCUAUCCCACCCCUUUUCUUCCUAGCGUCUGCUAACCACCUUUAUACUCUCCACCUUCCUGAGAUUCCUUUUGUGUGUAUGUGUGUGAUGGAGUCUCUUUCUGUUGCCCAGGUUGGAGUAUACAGGCACAAUCCGGGCUCACUGCAACCUCUGCCUCCAGAGUUCAAGGGAUUCUUGGGCCUCAGCCUCCCGAGUAGCUGAGACUACAGGCACGCGUCACCACGCAUGGCUAAUUUUUUGUGUUUUUAGUAGAGACGGGGUUUCACCAUGUUGGUCAGGCUGGUCUCGAACUCCUGGCCUCAAGUGAUCCGUGCAACUCGGCCUCCCAAAGUGCUGGGAUUACAGGCCUGAGCCACCACACCUGGCCAAGAUUUUCUUUUUUGUUCCUACAUGUAAGUGAGGACAUGUAAUAUUUGUCAUUCUGUUCCUGGCUUAUUUCACUUAAUAUACAGACCUGAAAUCUCAUCCAUUUUUUCUGCAGUGGAGAGGAUUUUAGUCCUUUUUAGGCUGAAUAAUACUUCAUUGUAUGUGUAUACCAGUUUAAUUGACACAAAUUUCUAAAAAGCAAAUAUUUUUAAAAUGUCUCAGAAUGUGAAACUUUAGGGAUACUGUGCCCAUUUUAUUCUUUUCUAUUUCCCAUUUUAUGGAUAUGCAAGUGUAUAAUAAAACAGCAAUCAAUGGGUGUAUAAAUCUAUAACUUCAACAAAUGUAAAAUGAAAAUGCUAAGUGGUGGCUGGGCGCUGUUGCUCACACCUGUAAUCCCAGCACUUUGGGAGGCCGAAGCGGGCGGAUCACCUGAGGUCGGGAGUUCAAGACCAGUCUGACCAACAUGGAGAAACAGUCUGUACUAAAAAAAAAAAAAAAAAAAAAAAACAAAGUAGCUGGGUGUGAUAGUGCAUGCCUGUAAUCCCAGCUACUUGAAAGGCUAAGAGAGGAGAAUCGCUUGAAUACGGGAGGCAGAGGUUGCAGUAAGCCGAUAUCAUGCCAUUGCACUCCAGCCUGGGCAACAACAGUGAAACUCUGUCUCAAAAAAAAAAAAAAAGAAAAAAGAAAAAAGAAAAAAAGAAAAUGCCAAAUGGUAAGAAAAAACAGCAUAAUAAAAAUUUGUAUGGUGUUGAAGAACAAUGCAUUUGAAGAUAAUAUUUGAAGAAAUCAUAUUACAAUUAACUUCUGUUCUUACUCAUUGGUUUGAUGCCUCUAAAAACUUCAUCACUGGAACCACCUCUGGUGCUUUAAAAAAAAAAAAAAAAAAAAAAAAAAAAAUCCGCAUACCCACACAGGUGCAAGUAAAUCAGAAUCUCAGGUCAUGAGACCCAGGCCUCAUCAUUUGUAAGUGCCCCGGGUGAUUUGAUUCAAAGCCAAGAUUGAGGACCCGUGACAUGGAUCUCUACACAUAAUCUGCCUAAAUAGAUUCUCUACAAGCAGUUUAUAAAGAAGUUCCACAUGAACUCUGGAAGAGGAUAUGAAUUUGAUGUACAGUAUGUGCUCACUUAACAUCUUUGAAAGUCUCUUGGAAACUUCACCUUUAAGCAAAAUUAUGGAUAGUGAAACCACUUAUUCCUCAUCAACAUUACAACUAAACAACUUUGAACAAAACAAUGGUGUUGGAGGACCGGCUGUACAUUGUUUCUAUAAAGUCAAUUUUCAGGGAAUUCCAAAAUGAAGUGAGGACUUCCUGUAUAUAAAAAGAUGGUUGUGAUUCCACAUGGAUGACAGGGUUAUUGCUCAGAAACUAAAGGAGGCCGCCCAGGUAUAGAGGAUUCAGUCAUGAGGUUUAUGCUACACAAAAGAUCCCAGAAUACUCACCCAUUCCAGUCAAAGACAUAAUGAAAAAAGCAAUAUUCACAUAGG